rnacentral:rRNA from 1 species
GGUGCAAGCGUUAAUCGGAAUUACUGGGCGUAAAGCGUGCGCAGGCGGUUUUGUAAGACUGUCGUGAAAUCCCCGGGCUCAACCUGGGAAUGGCGAUGGUGACUGCAAGGCUAGAGUUUGGCAGAGGGGGGUAGAAUUCCACGUGUAGCAGUGAAAUGCGUAGAUAUGUGGAGGAACACCGAUGGCGAAGGCAGCCCCCUGGGUCAAAACUGACGCUCAUGCACGAAAGCGUGGGGAGCAAACAGGAUUAGAUACCCUGGUAGUCCACGCCCUAAACGAUGUCUACUAGUUGUCGGGUCUUAAUUGACUUGGUAACGCAGCUAACGCGUGAAGUANACCGCCUGGGGAGUACGGUCGCNAGAUUAAAACUCAAAGGAAUUGACGGGGACCCGCACAAGCGGUGGAUGAUUUGGAUUAAUUCGAUGCAACGCGAAAAACCUUACCUACCCUUGACAUGGCUGGAAUCCCCCGAAGANAAUGGGGAAUUGCUCCAAAAGAAAAACCCAUUACACAGGUUGCCUGCCAUGGCUUGUCCUUCAACUCCNUGUUCCUUGANAUNUUUGGGUUUNAAUUCCCCCCCAACNAANCCCCAACCCCUUGNUCCAUUUANUUUGCUACCAAAAAAGGGCCCUCCCUAAUUGAAAACUUGCCCNGGUUGAANAACCGNAGAAAGGUGGGGAAANNAAAAAAANNUUUUCNAAUUUCCCCCCCAUNGGCCCCUUUAUUGGGUUUUUGGGGGUUUCCCCCCNUUNCCNUUNCNAAUGGGUUUNCCUUACCNAAANGGGCCCCCCNCC